rnacentral:rRNA from 1 species
UUUUUAAAGUCUGACCUGCCCACUGAAAUUGUUUAAAUGGCCGCAGUAUUCUAACUGUGCAAAGGUAGCAUAAUCAUUAGUCUUUUAAUUGAAGGCUGGUAUGAACGGUUGGACGAGGUAUAAGCUGUUUCAUAUAAAUUUAUAAUAGAAUUUUAUAUUUUAGUUAAAAAGCUAAAAUAUAUUUAAAAGACGAGAAGACCCUAUAAAUCUUUAUAUUUUGUGUUGUUUAAAUUUUUUGGAAUUGGUUUAUUUUUAUGGUAUAAAAUAUUUUGUUGGGGUGAUAUUAAAAUUUAAUGAACUUUUAAUUAUUUAAAAUCAUUAAUUUAUGAGUUAUUGAUCCAUUAAUAGUGAUUAUAAGAUUAAGUUACUUUAGGGAUAACAGCGUAAUUUUUUUGGAGAGUUCAUAUCGAUAAAAAAGUUUGCGACCUCGAUGUUGGAUUAAGAUAUAAUUUUAGGUGUAGCCGCUUAAAUGUUAAGUCUGUUCGACUUUUAAAUUCUU